rnacentral:tmRNA from 2 species
GGGGCUGAUCGGUUUCGACUUGGGACGUUAGUUCCAGGGGAAGCGGGUCGAGGAGCCAGCGACAUCUCGUAAACGACCGCUGGAAUCUAUAACUGCCAACAACCAGCGCAGUUCCUUCGCUCUCGCCGCCUGACGCGGUGAUCGAAGCGUCCAACCGAGUAUCUGUCUCCGGCUCGGACCUGGGCGUCAUCUAGGAGACUUGCUGCUCAACUCCUGCCAGGAGGGUUGAGCGGGACUCUUUCCUGACUGAGCCUGUCGUGGACGUGUCAGUGCGAGCCACGGGGCCGAGAAAAGCGAUAGCGCUGACUGCACCCGGAGAAGACCUGGAUCGACGCUCGAGGACCGGGGUUCGAUUCCCCGCAGCUCCACCA